UUUAGUUGCCUUCGCUUUGGAGACGUGAAGCCGCUGUUCAUCGUUUGCGCUUCUUCUUCUCGAAGGUUUUACCGUCUCAAUCACUCAUUCAAUUCUUAUCUCUCUUCCAAGACGGUGUAUCUCUAUCUAUAAAAACCUGAGGAUUCAUCCCUUGAGAAUCAUCCUUUUGAACGCCUCUCCGUUUUAGCCAUUGUAAUAGGUAAAUUCUCAUCCAUUCUGUUUAGUUUGAUCUGUACGAUCGAGCGUAGCAUCAACGAUUGGAGCCAUAACAACCCUCGAUUGGAUCACCGGAACCCUAAAAUCAUCCCCUCCUUGGAUCCACAAGUGGUCUCCGGUCGGUGCUGGCGAUUGCUCCGGGAAUAAAGCGAACGAAUGAGACGGUGCUGGCGAUUGCUCAGAAUUCUGGAGAAGGAUAGAGGAUAAACCGCGAUCAAAAAGAUUUUGGAGACGGAAAUUAAGAUGUGGACGGUAACGGUGAUGACGGUGUGGAUGUGAAAGCCGUAGGGCAUUUGUUGGAGCGAGUGUGUGAGGCCUGAUGUGAUAUUAACUGAGGGAGAAGGAGACAGUGACGAAGAGGAUGAUGAUAUUGUGUUAUUGCAAUGGCUUAGGAACGAGGAAGUUUGAUAUCAGCCCAAGUUAUCAGCCUUUUGUAUGAAAAUGAUUUUUUUUUAAAUUUUGUGAUCACAUGAAAUCCCAACAGAAAAUAUUUUUCACUAAUAACACUAACUCUGUUGCUUCUUAAAAACUGUUAUUGGUUGAUGUAUCAAGAAGAUCCUAAUGGAAAGUAGGUUGCUAUGAGGCAGAUCAAGCAGCUUACUGAGUCCACUGACGUUAAGAUAACUAAAUGGAAUAUCUCUCACCAGAAUUGAGUCAUGAGAAAAACAUACGAAGCAGUUUCUCAUCGAGGAAUGUCGAUGUUGCUUUGACACCUCGUCAAAAAGAUCUGACGAGCUUUUCAGAAACAUGGCGAGAGUAGAGACCAAUAAUAUAAUAAUGGGCAAUGAGUUCAAUAUCACCAUCCACAUCAGUAACAUCAAUGGUUUACCCAUAUCUGGUUUUUGAGAUGCCACAACUGGUUACUGGUGUCUCCAGUGUCAAUGAUUAUGAAAGGAUUUUGCACUACAGAACAAGCCUAUGGGAGGACCAGUGUUCAUCACAAGUUUUUAAGCGCAGAAGAAUAAAAUAAAGAAAUUUGUAGGUUAUAAAAAAAUUAUUUUUUGUUUCAACAGGUUAUAAAAAGGUUUAAUGAUAAACUUUAUUCAAAAUA